rnacentral:misc_RNA from 1 species
GAUGAAGAACGCAGCGAAAUGCGAUACGUAAUGUGAAUUGCAGAAUUCAGUGAAUCAUCGAGUCUUUGAACGCACAUUGCGCCCCCUGGUAUUCCGGGGGGCAUGCCUGUCCGAGCGUCAUUGCUGCCCUCAAGCACGGCUUGUGUGUUGGGCCUCCGUCCUCCUCCCGGGGGACGGGCCCGAAAGGCAGCGGCGGCACCGCGUCCGGUCCUCGAGCGUAUGGGGCUUCGUCACCCGCUCUUGUAGGCCCGGCCGGCGCUUGCCGACACAUCAAUCUUAUUUCCAGGUUGACCUCGGAUCAGGUAGGGAUACCCGCUGAACUUAAGCAUAUCAAUAAGCGGAGGA